rnacentral:RNase_P_RNA from 1 species
GCGGGGGGCUAGGCAAUCGCGGAGUGAAAUCUUCGAGGAAAGUCCGGACUCCCUGAAACAACGGUGCCGGGUAACGCCCGGCGGGGGUAACCCUAGGGAAAGCGCCGCAGAAAACAGACAGCCUUGCAUGCAAGGUAAUGGUGAAACGGUGGGUUAAAGCUCACCGCGCUGUUGGUAACAAUAGNGGCACGGCAAGCCCCACCGGGAGCAAUGCCAAAUAGGAACCGCAAAGAGACCGUUUCAGUCUAGCAGGUUCGGGUUGGCAGCUGGAUNGGCCUGGUAACAGGUCUGCNAGAUGAAUGAUUGCCCAAGAUAGCGUGUUUAAUCAUGUUUAUCUGGACAAAAUCCGGCUUACAGGCUGCCCGCGCGC